AUAAACUACAAUUGCGCAGAUAACAAACACCAAACUGAGUGGAAGACGUGGUUACAAUUUCCAAAUCCAUUUCUCAUCACUUUUCAACAACUAAGAUCCCUUGAAGCUAUUCUCAAACAACCCUCAACUGUCAUCACCUCUGGAUGUUCUACUACCACCAGACCUGCAGUAAUUCAGCUGGUUGGAUUGAAAUCUGCUCCCCCCAAAUCCAUCAGAGCAGAAAAUAACCAGUCAGUCCAUCAUCAGGGGUUCAAGUGACGACAUUAUGUCAUCAGAACAUGACGUGAAUUUGAAAAAACUGCAAAAGGAAUUCGAGGAAAGUGUUGAAGUAUUCAGACACCUCCUUGAUGAAAGUUUGACGGACCUUCAGGCAAAAGUGAAAGAGCUUCGUCAGAUAGCUGACAGCUAUGAGAAUUGGUACCGUGCCACUACUAGAGGUAGUCUGGUAGGGAGUGUUUUUGGGGUGACUGGAGGGAUCACUACUUUAGUAGGCCUUGCCAUGGCUCCAUUCACUUUGGGCACCUCCAUGGUUGUUGCCGCGGUGGGUAUGGGGAUAGGUGUAACUGGUGGGAUUACUGGCGCUGCUUCUAACAUCACCAGCAUGAUGAGUCAACGAAGUGACCGACAGAACAUUCAGAACAUUCAGAAACAAUUCCUGGAAAAAGUCAAACCAAUUGAGGAAAGCUUGAGUAAAAUCAACAGGAAAGUUGAAGAAUUUAAGGCAAUUGCCAAUGAUACAGUUAUUAAAACAGGGUUUGGACUUUUUAAAAUAGUAGGUAAUCUGUCUCUUUUAGAUGACGUUGCCUUUUUGGCUGAGUUUGCAAAUAUUGCCAAACUAAGUGCCUCAUCUGCUAAAUCUCUCCGUUCAGCAGCAGCAUUCACAGGGGGGCUCUCUAGCCUAUUCCUAGUUCUUGACAUAAUCUCUAUUGUCAAGGACGCCAAGGAACUUGAUGCAAUGGAAAAUGGAAACCGAAUUCAGUCAGAUACACUGAAGUUUAUUCAGACAAUCAGGGACAUGGCUGAACAGUAUGAGCAGGCUCUAAACACGUUUAAACAGACAAAGGAUGAACUUCUUGGAAAAAAAUGUUGAUUAAGAAACUACAUACUGUAUAUUUAAAUGAAAUAAUCAGAUUAUAUUGCUUGAAAGGGGUCUGAUUUUACAGUUGAAGUUGGAAGUUUACAUACACCUUGGCCAACUACAUUUAAACUCAGUUUUUCACAAUUCCCGACAUUUAAUCCUAGUAAAAAUUCCCUGUUUUAGGUCAGUUAGAUCACCAUUUCAUUUUAGGAGUGUGAAAUGUCAGAAUAGUACUAGAGAAUGAUUUAUUUCAGCUUUUAUUUCUCAUCACAUUUCCAGUGGGUCAGAAGUUUACAUACACUCAAUUAUUAUUUGGUAGCAUUGCCUUUAAAUUGUUUAACCUCUGUCAAACGUUUCGGGUAGCCUUCCUUAAGCUUGGGUGAAUUUUGGCCCAUUCCUCCUGACAGAGCUGGUGUAACUGAUUCAGGUUGGUAGGCCUCCUUGCUCGCACAUGCUUUUUUAGUUCUACCCACUAAUUUUCUAUAGGUUUGAGGUCAGGGCUUUGUGAUGGCCACUCCAAUGCCUUGACUUUGUUGUACUUAAGCCAUUUUGCCACAACUUUGGAAGUAUGCUUGGGGUCAUUGUCCGUUUGGAGGACCCAUUUGCAACCAAGCUCUUUAACAUCCUGACUGAUGUCUUGAGAUGUUGCUUCAAUAUAUCCACAUAAUUUUCCGCCCUCAUGAUGCCAUCUAUUUUGUGAAGUGCACCAGUCCCUCCUGCAGUCAAACACCCCCACAACAUGAUGCUGCCAGCCCCGUGCUUUACGGUUGGAAUGGUGUUCUUCGGCUUGCAAGCCUCCCCCUUUUUCCUCCAAACAUAACAAUGGUCAUUAUGGUCAAAUAGAUCUAUUUUUGUUUCAUCAGACCAGAGGACAUUUCUCCAGAAAGUACGAUCUUUGUCCCCAUGUGCAGUUGCAAACCGUAGUCUGGCUUUUUUAUGGCGGUUUUGGAGCAGUGGCUUCUUCCUUCCUGAGUGGCCUUUCAGGUUAUGUCGAUAUAGGACUCGUUUUACUGUGGAUAUAGAUACUUUUGUACAUGUUUCCUUCAGCAUCUUCACAAGGUCGUUUUUCUGUUCUGGGAUUGAUUUGCACUUUUCGCACCAAAGUACGUUCAUCUCUAGGAGACAGAGCGCGUCUCCUUCCUGAGCGGUAUGACGACUGCGUGGUCCAAUGGUGUUUAUACUAGCGUACUAUUGUUUGUACAGAUGAACGUGGUACCUUCAGUCCUUUGGAAAUUGCUCCCAAGUAUGAACCAGACUUGUGGAGGUCUACAAUUUUUUUCUGAGGUCUUGCCUGAUUUCUUCAGAUUUUCCCGUGAUGUCAAGCAAAGAGGCACAGAGUUUGAAGGUAGGCCUUGAGAUACAUCCACAGGUACACCUCCAAUUGACUCAAAUUAUGUAAAUUAGCUAAUUAGAAGCGUCUAAAGCCAUGACAUCAUUUUCUGGAAUUUCCCAAGCU